CCUACGGGUGGCAGCAGUGAGGAAUAUUGGUCAAUGGGCGCGAGCCUGAACCAGCCAAGUAGCGUGAAGGAUGACUGCCCUACGGGUUGUAAACUUCUUUUAUAAAGGAAUAAAGUUAGGCACGUGUGCCUUUUUGUAUGUACUUUAUGAAUAAGGAUCGGCUAACUCCGUGCCAGCAGCCGCGGUAAUACGGAGGAUCCGAGCGUUAUUCGGAUUUAUUGGGUUUAAAGGGAGCGUAGAUGGGUUGUUGAGUCAGUUGUGAAAGUUUGCGGCUCAACCGUAAAAUUGCAAUUGAUACUGGCAGGCUUGAGUACAGUUGAGGUAGGCAGAAUUCGUGGUGUAGCGGUGAAAUGCUUAGAGAUGAGGAAGAACCCCGAUUGCGAAGGCAGCUUACUAAACUGCCACUGACAUUGAUGCGCGAAAGUGUGGAUAGCAAACAGGAUUAGAUACCCCUGUAGUU
rnacentral:rRNA from 1 species